rnacentral:rRNA from 1 species
UACGUAGGGUGCAAGCGUUGUCCGGAAUUAUUGGGCGUAAAGAGCUCGUAGGCGGUUUGUCGCGUCUGCUGUGAAAACCCAGGGCUUAACCCUGGGCCUGCAGUGGGUACGGGCAGACUAGAGUGCGGUAGGGGAGACUGGAAUUCCUGGUGUAGCGGUGAAAUGCGCAGAUAUCAGGAGGAACACCGGUGGCGAAGGCGGGUCUCUGGGCCGUAACUGACGCUGAGGAGCGAAAGCAUGGGGAGCGAACAGG